GGAGUACUACCUUCGUCCGAAAAUACUUGUCCUAGAGAUGAAUGUAUCUGGACUUAUUUUAAUUAUAGAUACAUUCAUUAUAUGUAUUUUUAGAACAAGUAUUUUCGGACGGAGGGAGUAACAU
rnacentral:pre_miRNA from 1 species